UACGGAGGUGGCGAGCGUUGUCCGGAAUCACUGGGCGUAAAGGGCGCGUAGGCGGCCUGAUAAGUAGGGGGUGAAAUCCUGCGGCUUAACCGCAGGGCUGCCUUCUAAACUGUCAGGCUAGAGCACAGUAGAGGCAGGUGGAAUUCCCGGUGUAGCGGUGGAAUGCGUAGAGAUCGGGAGGAACACCCGUGGCGAAGGCGGCCAUCUGGACCAGCACUGACGCUGAGGCACGAAAGCGUGGGGAGCGAACAGGG
rnacentral:rRNA from 1 species